ensembl:lincRNA F730016J06Rik RIKEN cDNA F730016J06 gene
AUUCAGAAGAGAUCAGUGGUGCUGGAGAGGAGGGGCUGCUAACAUGCACAGCACAGAGUCUGCUCCAGCACCACACUCUGCAGCAUCACCAGACAGGGACAGGAUUCACUUUCAGCAGGGACAGGAUGUUUGGUUUAGUUCUGAAGACUGGAGAGGGUAUAAACAGGAGAGCCGGAGGCAGCUGCCGCUCCCCCUGCUGCUGCUGCUUUUGCUGUUGCUGAAUUUCUGGUUGGAGCUAUCCUGAUGACAGAGAUUGGACUUGUCACCAAGGAACGGGACACCCCUAAUGAGCAGGACAUAGUCUAAAGAGACACGUUCACCCAGAACUAUGGAGUCGGUGUCUGUGGAAAGCCUACAGUCCAGCUCACGCUAGCUUUCUCAUGCUGCUCAAAACAUGACAGCCCCAGUGGCUAUCUAUCUGUAACUAGCCCACCAACCCACAGGCCCCAGCUCAGCAUGGAACUGGACCAACUCCUGACGGACUACCCAGCACUGAGUCACAGCGGCAUCGUGCUGACCCAAGGGAGCCACAGAGUCCAACUACUGAAAAUACAAGCCAGUCCCUAGAGGUCAGGAGUCAGCCCAGGAAGCCUGGAAGGACAGGCAGUAGGGAAGGAGAGAUGAAGGCAUGGUGGGACACAGAAGUCUCAGGGGAGGGAAGGGGACAUUUAUUAUGGUGGCAGAGGUACCAAUCCAUGAGGAAGACUUUCAAGGCUGUGAGCAGUGGCCCUCGGUGUCAAGGUCAUUUUAGGAUACCUUACUAUGGAGACUUGUUUUUGGUGACCAGGAACGCCCAAGCUUCAGACCACUCCUGACUUUCUCUCUAUUCAUGAUGAAUCUGUGCUGAGGACUUGUACCUCCCUUUGUUUUCCAGGACUUUGGGGGAUGCUACAGUCUUUCGGGGCCUUGGGUCACUCCUGUACAUUCCCCUGAGCCUCAUGCAUUCAGAAAGUCUUCCUGGCAUCCGAAGUCUGUGGGAAGUCUUCUCCAGUUCUGCCAGUUUAAUUUGUUUUAUUAACAUGAAAUAUUUGGGUUUGGGAUUCAAGGAUAACACUGAGACAGAUAGUCCUUUGUGGGGUAGGAAGUUAAUAGUUCCACGGUCACGAAAGACCCACAGUGUGAGGACUCCCCCACGUUCUGACUCAGAAGAGGCGACACCCCAAAUCACUCACGAGAAUCGGUCUUGAUGCAAACUGCAAGAGGUUUAUUCUGGAAAAACCAGUGCAUUGGGGACAACUCUUAUCCCACGCAAGGGUAGAGGAGUCAACCAUGAGCUCAAGGGGGCGGGAAAACAAAGGACGAGACACAGACAAACAAGUCCAGUGCACUAGGGUUGACUUGUAUCCCACGCAGGGGUAGAGGAAUUGACAACAAGCUCAAGGGGUAAGGGAUUUAUAUAGACACACAAACCACAAACACCUGGCACUGGGCUAUAGAAAGGCAAAAACCACAAACACCUGGCAUCCUGGAACAAUGGGGCUAUUUUGGACACAGGUCUAGGGGCUUAAAUAAUUUUUUACUCUCUGUCAGGAUCUUUUAGUCAUAUAGAAAAGCAGACAAUGGCAUGAAGCAGACCCUAAUGAAAGUUCAGGAAGCAAGCGGGGUUGGGGGUGGGAGUGGGGGUGAGGAGUCCUUUUUGGGUCUCAGAGGAAAGGGGAAGGUUCCAAGAUACAAGCCUGUAGCUAGCUGUCCCUGAUUCCUGGGCAGCUGGGAGGAGGGGGCAAAUCCCAGGGAAGGAGUGAAAAGGUGGAAGGGAUAUCUGGUUGAGAGGUAGCUGGUGUGAGUGGGGGAUGUGCUGCCCUUUGAUAACCAGAGCCUGGCUGCCUGGUCUGUGGGCUUCCUUAGGGGGAAAUAGUGUCUGUCACUCCCUGACAUCAGACUAGGAAGGCUCUCUCUCUCUCUCUCUCUCUCUCUCUCUCUCUCUCUCUCUCUCGCUCUCGCUCUCGCUCUCGCUCUGGCUCUGGCUCUGGCUCUUGAUCUCUCUCACUCUUUCUCUUUCCCUCCUCCCCUCCCCCUGCUGCUCUCCUCUCCUCCUGCUCUCCCCCUCUCCCUUUUCCUCCCUCUCCCUGUAGCAAUAAGAAUCCCAGAAUCGACUGAGGAUGGAGACAGGGAGGGCUGAACUUGAGCAGUCUCUGGUCUGAUGUUCUAACAUAAGCCAUGUGUACUAAGCCACUGUGAUUAAAUGUUGUCUUCAGUGGUGACAUCGAUGACCCUCUUACCUGCUCUGCAGCAGUGGGAGGCUGUAGUCUUGAAGGCGUGGCACCUGGUAUAGAAUACAGAGCAGGUUCCAGGAACUACAUACAGGAAAACAUCUGCCACAUGUAAACAGACCAGGAUGUUUGUGACAUCCCUGUACUGUCGUGGGGUUGGGGUCAUUGAUAUUCAUCUGAAAUUAUGCUCAUAAACAGACAAAAACAAAGGUGCUGGCUUUUCCACCUAAAUACACAGCUUCCCAGCAAAAGUCCUCCUUGGGGGUAUCAGGCUGCCAACUCCUGACAGCCUCAUCCUGGGCAUAACUGUCUGGAGAAGUGGGGCAGCCUCUUAGGAUGACCUCAGAUCUGAGGAGUGACAUCUGCCCAGCAUGUGUCCUUGCACCUGAGGUAGGAACAAGACAAAAACCUCAGUGCAAAAGUAAAAAUAGCAGACCAUAGCAAUCCAGGGCAUGGUGCGGGCUAUAAUUAUAGACAUGGAGGCGGUUCCUUCUGAAGCCUACUGGAGGGCCAGGGGGAGUAGGCUGGUGUGUGGGGGUGAUGAUGCAGAGGAGGGGAGGCCUGGCCUCAGAAUCUCCUGACUUCAGAGUGCCCAAGAGACAGGCUAGCAGAAGGCCACAGGACGAAUGGACAGCAAGAACACAGGCUACAGCAAUUCUGCAAAGUGCUUAAAAACACUCGUCCUCUGACCUGCAAGAUACUGUCCAAGAUACAAAACCUUGGCUGUGUAAGGGAACAAAAUUGCAUUGGAUUUUUGGUAAAAAUAGCAAGAGUAAUUUUGUUCAGGCUCUGGCAGCAGAUCGGAGAGUGUGGUGUGGGACUGAGAUCCACUCAAAUGCAGGACAGUAACAAGUGCCCAGAGUGAGAGCAGACUGGGGGAGGGGAAGCUACCGAGGAAUGAGCCUGCCCCUGCUAAAGGUGAGCUACUGUUUGGGAUGACAGCUGAUAGAAGUCAAAGAGUGGCUGGAACCAGAAACCAAGGGUGGAGGAGUCACAGCAGAGCAUGAUUGUGAAUGGCCAAGGUACAGGUCUAGCUCAAGUAGCUUGGAGGAGCCUGACUGAGUUAAGCCUUUCCAGGGUCGCCUCCACCAUGGCCUGGCCCAGGGAUAAGGUAUUCUGCAACUACAGACGAGGGAGCUGAUGGAAGGGGCAAGCAGCCUUUGCCAGGAUCCUGUCCCUAUGCAGUGCUGGUCCCUGGCCUUGGCACCUGAGUCCUGGGUGAGCUUGGGUACCUUACUUUCUGUCUUAGUUACUUUUCUCACUGCUUUGAUGAGUCAGCCAACAAGAACAACUUAAGAAAGGAAAGGUUUGUUUUGGCUCAUGGGUUGAGGUUCAUCCAAGAUGAUGGAGGUGUCCCCAAGUUUGGUCUGUUGCUAUGAAUUGCAAUGCUAAAUACUGGCCUCCAAGGUCUACUUGCCCCCCAGGAUGAGGAAAUCACAUACACUAAGUGAUGCUAUGUAACCUUGCUCCUUAAUUUAAAACUAUCUGUUGAAUAAAGAUGCCUACAACC